AAGUCGGACGGCAGCGGGGGGCAACUCCCUGCGAGAGUGGCGAACGGGUGAGUAAGACGUGGGUGAUCUGUCCCGGUCACGGGGAUAGCCUGUGGAAACAUGGGGUAAUACCGGAUAAGCUCUGCGGGGUAAAGGCCGCGGAGGAAAGGCGCGUAUGCGCCGGAGAGGGAUGAGCCUGCGGUCCAUUAGCUUGUUGGCAGGGUAAGAGCCUACCAAGGCGACGAUGGAUAGCCGGCCUGAGAGGGUGAACGGUCACACUGGGACUGAGAUACGGCCCAGACUCCUACGGGAGGCAGCAGCUAAGAAUCUUCCGCAAUGGGCGAAAGCCUGACGGAGCGACGCCGCGUGGACGAAGAAGGCCGAAAGGUUGUAAAGUUCUUUUCUUUGCGAAGAAUAAGGGGAGGAGGGAAUGCCUUUCUGAUGACGUUAGCGAAGGAAUAAGCCCCGGCUAAUUACGUGCCAGCAGCCGCGGUAAUACGUAAGGGGCGAGCGUUGUUCGGAAUUAUUGGGUGUAAAGGGCGCGCAGGCGGCUCUGAAAGUCCGGUGUGAAAGGCCGCAGCUUAACUGCGGUUGUGCGCUGGAAACUACAGGGCUUGAGUGCAGGAGGGGGAGCUGGAAUUCCAGGUGUAGGGGUGAAAUCUGUAGAUAUCUGGAAGAACACCGGUGGCGAAGGCGAGC
rnacentral:rRNA from 1 species